AAUAUUUUACUAUGGGGGCAACCCUGAUCCCGCCAUGCCGCGCGUGUGAAGAAGGUGUUCGGAGUGUAAAGCACUUUAAGUUGGGAGGAAGGGCUUUAGGUUAAUACCCUGAAGUUUUGACGUUACCAACAGAAUAAGCACCGGCUAACUCUGUGCCAGCCGCCGCGGUAAUACAGAGUGUGCAAGCGUUAAUCGGAAUUACUGGGCGUAAGGCGCGCGUAGGUGGUUCAGUAAGAUGGGUGAGAUAUCCCCGGGCAUAACCUGGGAACUGCUUUCAUAACUGCUGAGCUAGUGUACGGAGGAGGGUAGUGGAAUUUCCUGUGUCGCGGUGAAAUGCGUAGUUAUAGAAAGGAACACCAGUGGCGAAGGCGACUACCUAGACUGAUACUGACACUGAGGUGCGAAAGCGUGGGGAGCAAAC
rnacentral:rRNA from 1 species